CAAGAACUAACCAGAGAUUCAAAAGCAGAAUAAUGUUGGGACCCCAGAGAAGUAUUCUUGGCUUUUCUCAGAAGGAAGAAACUGUGUGAUGUGAGGAAUAAUAUCCUCUACAGCAUCUAUAUGGCAUCGGAAGCUCUCAGAAGAAUAACUACUUGCUCUCAUCUUGAUCCAUAGGAAUUGACCAGCUGACCAGCUGGCUAAGUACCCAAAUGUGUGUGGUGAGGGUGAGACUUAAAAACAGAGCUCAACAUCUGAAAUCUAGAAAAAUUUGGUGCCAGUGUUCUUCAUACGAAGUUAGUGAUGCGCUGCCAGUAUUGCAACAGCAUCCUCCUGGGACACAUUUCUAAUGCUUCACAGCAGGAACUGUUUCUGGCAGCUUGGUGAACCAAGAAAGGCAAUAUUCUUCUGGGAAACAUUGCCUUGAGAGACACAACAUGAAUUACAACAUCAUGAUGUAUUCAGCCAGAUGUCUGCAAGACAGAAAAUCACGUGACUGAGCAAGGCAUGUGAAUGUUCUUAAAGGGGGAGAAAUAGAAAAGAAAAACCAAACAUGCAUCAGAUAUUUCCUUUUUGCAUCACAUUAUUCCCAAUCAUAUGGAUGCCUUAUGUUUAUAACUUGCCAAUUAUGAAUUUCCCCUCAUGUAUAUUAAACUUAAGGAUCACUAUAAUUUUAAUCUUGUUAACAAAUUUGCUGUUUGUCUAUAUCUAUUUAGGAGAUUAGCAUCCAGGGCUCAUUAGGUAUCUGUUAGGAUGGUUGUUAGGGCAUAGUGAGAAAUUAUUUUUUGGCACUCACAACAAAUGUAUAUGGAUAUACAUUUAGUUUCUUGGGAUCCUAGUCCAUGUAUUUGAAAAGUAUAUGUACUUGACGAUCCUGAGCAAAACUGGAAUCAUUUGAAUUAAUUCAUCUUUUUUUUUCACAAUUGGCAAUCUCACGCUCAGUAUAUUAAUACAUAUUCACUAAAUAAUCAUAGUGUAGUUUGUAGUUUCUCAGUUGCACAGAAAUGGUUGGGUUCUUUCAGGGAUCCUUACUUGAAGAUAAGGAUCAGAGCACUAUUAAGGAAAGGGAGGAUAAUCCUGAAGUGUGGGAGGGGAUGGUCAUGGAUUUACCUAUUUUUACUAUUUGUUUUAUUUACUCUAUUUCUAACAACCCAAUCACUUCUCCAGUGGCAAAGGCCUUUGGCAUUUGGUAGGCACCCAAUGCAUAAUUGCUGAUGAAAGAAUGAAUUCUAUUGCCAGGGCAUCCAUUUCAUUUUCUCUGCAGCCACACCAUCAGCAUGGCAACUGCCCCGACAGCACAUUCUUUUCAUGAUUGUUUUAAAUUUCUUAUGCUAUUUUCCGUAAGGUAGUGGUCUAUAUAAUUUUUAGUCAUGCACUCCUAUUAAUUAAGUUUUGUGCAUGUAGUCUCUAAAUACAUAUUUUACAAAUAAGAUAUUCUGUUGCUUUAUAAAAUAUAGUUAAUCAGAAGAAUGAGAUUGUUAAUAACAAUUCUAAUAAUUAUUUCUCCAUUUUCAUGGACUGUCUUGCUAACCUUCCUUGUACACUGUAUUCUGGAGAACCUUGGCUGUUGAAAGCAUAAAGGAAGAAGAAUGCAGUUUUUGCCUUGGGGAGCUUACAUCUUAUCUGGUAUACCAGAUAAACACAAUGAAGGACAACACAACGGUAAACAAGGUCAUAUGUAUCUAUCUUCGUCACAGUCAAGGUGGCCCCUGUAUGGUGGAAAAGGUCACUCCUUUAGUGGGAAAUUAGCAAAUAUUU
ensembl:lncRNA EDNRB-AS1 EDNRB antisense RNA 1